rnacentral:rRNA from 1 species
UACGUAGGGUGCAAGCGUUGUCCGGAAUUAUUGGGCGUAAAGAGCUCGUAGGCGGUUUGUCGCGUCUGCUGUGAAAACUCGGGGCUUAACUCCGGGCCUGCAGUGGGUACGGGCAGACUAGAGUUCGGUAGGGGAGACUGGAAUUCCUGGUGUAGCGGUGAAAUGCGCAGAUAUCAGGAGGAACACCGGUGGCGAAGGCGGGUCUCUGGGCCGAAACUGACGCUGAGGAGCGAAAGCGUGGGGAGCAAACAGG